rnacentral:rRNA from 1 species
GAUGAACGCUGACAGAAUGCUUAACACAUGCAAGUCGAUUCGAUUUACCUUCGGGUAUUGAGGAUGGCGGACGGGUGAGUAACGCGUAAGACUUGCCUCUGGACUGGGACAACUGUUGGAAACGACAGCUAAAUACCGGGAUAUUAUGAGAUUCUCGCAUGAGAAACUUUAUGAAAGCUAUAUGCGCCAAGAGAGAGCCCUUUGCG